CGUAGGGUGCAAGCGUUGUCCGGAAUCAUUGGGCGUAAAGAGCUCGUAGGCGGUUUGUCGCGUCUGCUGUGAAAACUCGGGGCUUAACUCCGGGCCUGCAGUGGGUACGGGCAGACUAGAGUGCGGUAGGGGAGACUGGAAUUCCUGGUGUAGCGGUGAAAUGCGCAGAUAUCAGGAGGAACACCGGUGGCGAAGGCGGGUCUCUGGGCCGUAACUGACGCUGAGGAGCGAAAGCGUGGGGAGCGAACAGG
rnacentral:rRNA from 1 species